rnacentral:lncRNA from 1 species
ACAAUGCCCAUGUCACCCCUUUGGCCUCCAUGUCUGUCUGCUGGAGGCCACACACACAGCAGAGCUGGGUAUGCUAGACAUUCGGUCUUGCUUAGUGUUUGACCAAAGGUGAUGCUGAUUUAGUGGACUAAGGUCAUGCCCUCCCUUCUCCCACAAUCAAUAAUUUAAUGUGACUUAUCAGAAACAGAAAGAAUUGUUUACUUUUAAACCCUGGAUCCCAUAAAGGGAGACGGGAGAGGCCUAAAAGCGACAGAAACGCAGGACUCUCGCCCCUACACACCUUCCUGCCAGCCAGAGGAGGGGUCUGGGACUGAGAGAAGACCAGUGCUGACUGAGAUUAUUCAAAACCAAACAAAGCCAUCAUGGAGAACAGUGGGUUCCAGACACUUGGGUCACAUAUGUGGAGCUGGAAAGGAUCCCUGAUGAUUGGCAGUGACAAUGGUGGAAUGUGGAGGUGAAGUUAACACCUUCACACCUACAGAUUUCCCUUAGCAGAGCUGUGGAGUGUGACAAUGGUGUUUGUGUCCAAACUAUCAAACGCCAUCAUCACACUAAAUAGCUACUGCUAGGCAAUCCUUCCACUCAGUAUAAGUCUUGGCAACUGUUUGGUCUGGGCAAGAAGGCUCAUCUUAUACCAACCAGUGUUCUCUAUCAUGUGUAACUUGGAAUAAAGUCUGAUACUCUUGUGGUCAUAACUAUUUGCCUGCCUGAACCCUGCCUCUCACACGCUGUUGUUAAAUAGAUGAUAAUUCUGAUGAUAAAGAAAAAACAACUCAAAAUCAGUUUCUCCCAUUGUACACUCACAACACAAAUCACUUCUGGCACCAGAUAUUUGAGGAUCUCUCCCCAACAAGCAAGCAGUUAAUUCCACAGCAGACUCCAUCUGGGAGUCCUCUAAUCUAGUUCUGCUCUGACACUCUACCUGGAGAUAUUGUCACAUGCCACAGGGUGAAGGCUCAGUCCUCAAGAAGGCACCUCAUUCAGAUGUCAGGCACAAGCCCCAGAUUGUUUUCCCUGUGCUUCUGACCUACUUUCGAUAAAUCAGGGUUCCCACAUUGCCUCCUCGAGUUCAAUUCAUUUGUUUGAGCAGCUCACAGAACUCAGGGAAAGAUAUACUUACCUUUAAAAGCUUAUUAUAAAGCAGACGAUAAAGGCUACAAAGGAAGAGAUGCACAGAGUGAGUUUAGGGGUAGUGGGUGUAGAGCUUCCACACCCCUUCUAAGAGUGCCAUCCUCCAGUACCCUCCAUGUGUUCAGUUACCCGGAAGCUCUCUGAACUCUGUCCUUUUGGGAUUUUUAUGGAGACUUCAUUGCACACACAUGACUGAAACUUGUAUAGCCAUGUUGAAAUGUGAUUGGAUGAAAGAGAAUGAUCUAAUGAAUAGACUGGGUGGGAAAGCCUAGCAAGGACUGUCUGUCCAGAUUCUUAGCCUUUCUGUGCAGCAUUCCAUUCUUGUGGGCCUGGGGUAGCACCCCCUCCAUGUGAGGAGGUUCGAAUGACAACUAUCACGUGAGGUAGGCCGGAGUUAUAACCAGGAACUGUGGUUCAAAAUAGGUAUAAAUCAUAAUAUCACAGUGACAAUGAAUUUUCUUAUUUUCUCCAAGUCAAUAAAAAGAUUGGAGUCCUGUAGAGCCCCCAGCACAAGGUUAGGCACCUGGUAAUCAUUUAACUCAUGCCUACUCCGUUGAAAUGAAUAGUUAGGAAAGUAGAAAACUAAAACUCGGUUAAAUCUAGUUUAGGCAAACCACAGCCUCAUAGGUGCUAAGUUAAGGUAUGUGGGUCUUCCGCUUUAUAAAAAAAAUACAGUUUAAAAAAACCCAACAAUAAACUUGUCCAUGACUUAAAUGACCUUUCGGAAAUUCCAGAACAUCUUUGAUUUCUACUUAUUUUAACCAAUUACCAGGCGGAUUGCUCAAUUUGUAUGCUAAUUUCUUCUUCCUUAUGUUUCAAUGAAUUGCCAUUAGAAAGAUUAUAUAUAAAUCAUGUAUAAACUGCCAGAGCAAAUCUGAACAUUUUUAAGCCAUGCGGUUUCUUGGACAGUUGGCCCAGCUGGGUGGUCUGGUUUGGAACACAGUCUCUCUCCGAGGGCAUCUAAAGUAACAAGUAGAUUCUGUGUGUGGGCUAAAGCUUCUCCCCUGUGUCUUGGCUAGAUAAUCUAGGAUAUGUUUGAUCAAAUUGACAGGAUUGGAUCAACUGCUAGAACUAAAUCAAUCAAUCUUCAUUUAUCAAAUAAAUAUGUGCACACGGACUCCCAUGUAGCUGGCACUAGCUUAGGCCCUGGAAAUAUUUUAAAAUUAAGUGUGUCUGGCAUUGUUUCCAGAGAUAGACAUUCACUGGCUCACAUUCUGUUAUUAUGGGAUAAUUCUAAUAGUCCAAAUUACAUUUAUUACAGAAUCCAAUGAGCAAAACUUUGCAAACUGAUUCCAAGUCCCUUGCUGGAAUGCACCAGUGAGUGCAGCCCACACAGCUAGGAUCUACUGCAAAAGUUUCAAGGUCAGGAGAACUUAUUGUCCAGAGAAGAAAGGGAAGUGCAUUCCUGCCUGCCCUCACUUCCACCUCCCAUUUCUUCCCUUCUGGCAUCCUCAACUGUCAAGAGGAGAUCUAGAUCCCCCUGAAAUAAUCCAUACCCUCACAUUCUUUCUCAUGUGUGUGUGUUUUAAGAGAAAGCACUAUUGACAAGAAUUAAUCAAGGGCUUUACUAUUAUAAGAAUCACUUCCAUGAAUACUGUUUCAUUUGGCCCGUACAACACAGGGCAAAGAUGACAGGAUAUAGUCCCCUCCUACAGAAGGAAAAUGAAGACUCCAAAUGUUUUUGAACCAUCUGGUUAUGUAACCAUAAUUCAACAUAGUCCUCUUAAAUCUAAAGUUCUGUGCUUUACUUAUAUCCUUCCUUGGGCAGGUUAUUUCACAAAACCUCAUGCUUCAUGGCUGAGGUUAUGUAGAAACUGGAUUAAUCAUACCCCUAUUCGAUCCAUAUCUUCAGUUUCCCAUCUGCUUUGUUGAUGGAUUCUAGGGGAAACCCCAUAAAUAAAAGAGAGAUGAGUCAUAUAACGAUCUCCCCUUGUGAACACUCAUAAUGCAGAGAAAGCCUAAUAUUGCAAAACAUUGCAAUAGAAAAAUAAAAGAGAAGUAACACCUAUGUGGCAGUUUUGAGGUAAGGAAGGGGGUGGUCAAGUUGUCCAGACAUGGAACAGCCAUUCUAGUAAUCUGGCCCACUGAGGCAGCACUGGAUCAUUCAGCGCUCUCAGACUUGAAGGUGAUGUGACCACUUGACCCACUCAUUCUUCUUUGCUAUACUCACCCUAAGAGUUUGCUCGGGUGGAACUAUACUGGGAGCAAAUAGAAGAGGAUUCUAUAGUAUAUCUUUUUUUACCAGCUCUGCUCAUUGUAUGGCUUAUUGUAAUUGCUGCCUGGAUUAAUUCUGCAUUCAAGAUUGGAUGUCUGUUCUUUCUGUAGAUCUCUAAGGAACACACAUAGAAGACAAAACAUCCACAUCCCCACUUUAAAGACACUUUUUUUCUUUUGGUACCAGGGAUCGAACUCUGGACCUUGCGCUUGAGAGGCAGGCGGCGGAACCACUGAGAUAAAUCCCUGGCCCUUUAAAGACACUUUUAAUACAAUCCUGCUGCUCCAAAUCUCCAAUGACAGCCUCCUUUCCCAAACCAACUUUCACCUCCUCUUCAGCCCCAGGGAUGAUAUGGCCAGUCAUUUCCAAUAAAGCAUUAAUGGGGAUAGUUACUGACUCCAAAUGUGCUUCACAUGCUGACAGGCCAACUGGGCCAUGAAGUUAAAAAUCACACUGGAGCUGGGGAGGCAGCAGGACACAUAGGCAGCCACAGUGUCUUGUUUUCUUCUCCAGGCCAGGGCAACUGAGCCUCCCUUUGCUUUGUGGAUCAUGCCAGUGAGGUCCUAUGCACCCUUCCAUCUUGGUUACAGUGGGUUCCAUGAACAUGACAACUACAGCUUAGGGCCUGCCUCGCUUUUUUUUUCCAGCUCCAGGAGAGGUUUUGUGAAAUCAUAGCAUAGCUAGCAUAUGUCAAUGCCUCAUCCACACAUUUUUUUUCUGAAUUCUUCUUGAACCUGUAAACCUUUCCACUUAUAUACUUCCUAGAGAAAACAGUAGAAUCCUAGAGCUGGAAACCAGUUUGCCUUUUUUUCUGGUGAGGAAAUUGAAGGACAGGUAUUGCAGAAUUGUCUGGCUAGCUCCAGUUUUAUACCUUCCCUCCCUGACAUCAUCAGCCAUUCACUGAUCAGACCUCUGUCGUGUGGUUACUAUGUGCCUGAUAUUGAAAUGGGCUCUGGGGAUGCAAAAAAGAAGGAGGCUGUGUCCUUUCCCCAACUGGUCUCAGUCUAGGAGUUGGAUAGAUGCCUAAAUACAUCUACACCUCACUGUAUGAGAUGCCAGCACAGAGACAGAGACAGGGACCUGAGAGACUUGAAUUACAUCCUUCAUUUCUUUCCAGAUUAAAAAAAAACUCCGAGUCCUUGAUAUUAUGAUCUUUUUUUGCUACCUCGAAGAAUAUAAUCCUUCUUGUUUAUUUUGGUGAUUUAAUUGCCAAUGGGUCACGGGGGAAAGGCAUUUUUUUGUCUUGAGUGACAAUACUGUAAUAUGAAGAUAUGCUGUUUCUACUGUGCUGCUUGCCAGCCUAAUGAUUAGCCCAAGAUCUACUGGGGCUAGAGGAUGGAUCAGUAGGCUUUUCCAUUAUGUGUGUGAAGAAUUUUAAUUUCCCAAAGGAAGGGGGUAGAAUCUGAGCUGUUUGCUCACAAUAAGGGCUAGGCUGAUAAUAAAUGUACACUACCAAGGCAUUAGGCCUUCUUCUCCCAAGUCACAAAAGGCCUACUCCUUUGGGACAGGCUCAAGGAAGCUGCUGAGCGCAAACCCAUGGCAGGUUCCCUCUG